GGCUGUGAUGAACAUUUCGUGCUUUGCACGCUGGAAAUUACCGACUGAGACCACAAGUCUUUGACGAUAACAAAUGGCUGAUUCUGAGC
rnacentral:snoRNA from 1 species